GCGAGUGAAGAGGGAAAAGCUCAAAUUUUGAAUCUGGCGGUCUUUAGGCCGUCCGAGUUGUAAUCUAGAGAAGCGUCUUCCGCGCUGGACCGUGUAUAAGUUUCCUGGAAUGGAACGUCGUAGAGGGUGAGAAUCCCGUCUUUGACACGGACGACCAGGGCUAUGUGAUGCGCUCUCGACGAGUCGAGUUGUUUGGGAAUGCAGCUCAAAUAGGGUGGUAAAUUCCAUCUAAAGCUAAAUACAGGCGAGAGACCGAUAGCGAACAAGUACCGUGAGGGAAAGAUGAAAAGAACUUUGGAAAGAGAGUUAAACAGUACGUGAAAUUGCUGAAAGGGAAACGCUUGAUGUCAGUCGCGUCGACCGGGGAUCAGCCUUGCUUAAUCGCUCGGCGUACUUCCUGGUGGACGGGUCAGCAUCGGUUUCGACCGUCGGAAAAGGACCGGAGGAAUGUGGCACUCUUUCGGGAGUGUGUUAUAGACUCUGCUCGAAUACGAUGGUUGGGACCGAGGAACUCAGCACGACCUUAGGGUUCGGGGCUUCGGCCCACGUUUGCGUGCUUAGGAUGCUGGCAUAAUGGCCUUAAGCGACCCGUCUUGAAACACGGACCAAGGAGUCUAACGUGCAUGCGAGUGUUUGGGUGUCGAAACCCGAGCGCGUAAUGAAAGUGAAAGUCGAGACCUCUGUCGUG
rnacentral:rRNA from 1 species